CCUACGGGAGGCAGCAGUGGGGAAUAUUGCACAAUGGGGGAAACCCUGAUGCAGCGACGCCGCGUGAGUGAAGAAGUAUCUCGGUACGUAAAGCUCUAUCAGUAGGGAAGAAAAUGACGGUAUCUGACUAAGAAGCCACGGCUAACUACGUGCCAGCAGCCGCGGUAAUACGUAGGGGGCCAGCGUUAUACGGAUUUACUGGGUGUAAAGGGAGCGUAGGCGGCAGGACAAGUCAGGAGUGAAAUCCCGGGGCUUAACCGUGGAAUUGCAGUGGAAACUGGGCGGCUGGAGUGCAGGAGAGGUAGGCGGAAUUCGUGGUGUAGCGGUGAAAUGCUUAGAUAUUAGGAGGAACACCGGUGGCGAAGGCGGCUUACUGGACUGUAACUGACGUUGAGGCUCGAAAGCGUGGGGAGCAAACAGGAUUAGAUACCCUGGUAGUC
rnacentral:rRNA from 1 species